rnacentral:rRNA from 1 species
UACGUAGGGUGCGAGCGUUAAUCGGAAUUACUGGGCGUAAAGCGUGCGCAGGCGGUUCGCCAAGUCAGGUGUGAAAUCCCCGGGCUUAACCUGGGAAUUGCGCUUGAAACUAGCGGGCUUGAGUGUGGCAGAGGGAGGUGGAAUUCCACGUGUAGCAGUGAAAUGCGUAGAGAUGUGGAGGAACACCGAUGGCGAAGGCAGCCCCCUGGGUCAACACUGACGCUCAUGCACGAAAGCGUGGGGAGCAAACAGG